rnacentral:rRNA from 1 species
ACUGAACGCUGGCGGCAGGCCUAACACAUGCAAGGCGAAUGGUAGCACAGAGAGCUUGCUCUCGGGUGACGAGUGGCGGACGGGUGAGUAACGUCUGGGAAACUGCCCGAUGGAGGGGGAUAACUACUGGAAACGGUAGCUAAUACCGCAUAACGUCGCAAGACCAAAGAGGGGGACCUUCGGGCCUCUCACUAGCGGAUGACCACAGAUGGGGUGAGCUAGUAGGCGGGGUAAUGGCCCACCUAGGCGACGAUCCCUAGCUGGUCUGAGAGGAUGACCAGCCACACUGGAACUGAGACACGGUCCAGGCGCAUACGGGAGGCAGCAGUGGGGAAUAUAGCACAAUGGGCGCAAGCCUGAUGCAGCCAUGCCGCGUGUAUGAAGAAGGCCUUCGGGUUGUAAAGUACUUUCAGCGGGGAGGAAGGCGGUGAGGUUAAUAACCUUGACGAUUGACGUUACCCGCAGAAGAAGCGCCGGCUAACUCCGUGCCAGCCGCCGCAGUAA